AUCACAUUCAAUUUUUACAAAAGGUAAAUAUACUAUUUUACUUACUAAAAUGGAUAUAAAAUAAAAUAAUUUUGUAUGCAUUAAAUAGAGGUUGAAUCAAUUGAAAGAAAUGCUUGGACAACCAACUACACCUUCUGGAGAGAUUACAUCAGUAGAUGGCGAACUUUUGGAUGAAGUUGACAGUUUUGUUAUGGUCACAUCUCCUCAAUUAAAUUCUGGAGGUACUUCAAGUAUUCAAAGUAGUCAAAGCAGUGCACAGGAUUCUGGAUAUAGUGAAAUGGAAAUACAAGAAAUGCUACAAGAUGGAAGUAAACAUUAAGUGCAUUACUUUUUGUCAGUAUGCUAUCCUCUUUAAAGAAAACUUACUUCAGUUAUUAACCCUUAUCAAACAUUCAGUCCUUGACUGAUAUUCAGUUAAUCAACUAUUAAUUGAAUGUUAGUCUUAAUGCAAUUUCCCCAUUUUCCC
rnacentral:lncRNA from 1 species